CGCAGUGUCCGCGAGCGCACUUCUGUUCGGGGUCAAAGGUUGUUGCUUCACCAUCUUCGUGUUGUCAGUGCUGUGAGGCUGUAAACUUCUACUAGGGAGGAUCAAAUAAACCAAUCAUGUCGUACACGUGCAUCAGCUGCCUUGUGCAGUUCUCUGAUGGGGAGGUCCAGCGGGCACAUUAUAAAACAGACUGGCACCGCUAUAAUCUGAAGAGAAAGGUUGCAGACAUGCCUCCGGUUACCUCAGAAAACUUCCAGGAGCGAGUGCUGGCACAGCGGGCAGCGGCCGAGCAGCAGAGUCAGAGCGGCGGACACGGCUCGGCCUACUGUGCCACCUGCAACAAAAAAUUCUCCACUGACAAUGCUUACAACAAUCACAUCCAAUCCAAUAAGCACCAGUACGCUGAGAGGAAAGCCUUGGUCGCCGCCCAGGAGACUGUCCAGCGAAUGAAUGAGAAGAAUCUGGAGAAAGGGGCGGAGCUAGAUAAAGACGCACAGAACGAAGCGCUUCAGAAAGCACUCAGGGAGCAUCAGAGACACACCCCCUCUAAAGCCACACCCACAGAGAAACAGGUCAGAACGCAGCCGGACAAACCGCCUCGGCUGCAGUGGUUCAAGCAGCAGGCCAAGAAGAUCGCAGCGGAGGAGGGUGAAGAAGAGGAGGAAGAAUGGGAGGAUGUUGAUGAGGAUGAGGAUAUGGAUGGUGAUGAUGAUGAUGAAGAGGAGGAGGAGAUGGAGGAGUACUCCACAUCUGGGGCAGCUCCGGCCCCCGGGGCCAUCCCAGUGACAGACUGUCUGUUCUGUGGACAUCAUUCACGCUCACUCGCCCGAAACAUGAUGCACAUGACCAAAACACACAGCUUCUUCCUCCCUGAUAUUGAGUAUCUGGUGGACCUGAGAGGAUUUAUUUCAUACCUAGGAGAGAAGGUUGGUGUUGGUAAGGUGUGCUUAUGGUGUAAUGAAAAAGGGAAGUCAUUCUACACUACAGAAGCAGUUCAGGCACACAUGACCGACAAGAGUCACUGCAAACUAUUCACAGACAGAGAAGCCGCUCUCGAGUUCGCAGACUUUUAUGACUUCAGGAGCAGUUAUCCUGAUGCUAAAGAUGGAGAUGAUGCGGAGAUGAAGGAUGGUGAACUGCCUGAUAAAAAGACUGUAGAGUUUGAUGAUGAGACGCUGGAGCUCACUUUGCCCUCAGGUGCAAAGAUUGGCCAUCGCUCCCUAAUGAGGUACUAUAAGCAGAGGUUUGGUGUUCAGAGGGCAUUGGUUCCAGCUCAUAACCAGAAGGCUGUUGGUCGAGUCCUUAAACAGUACAAAGCACUUGGAUGGGCAGGAGACUUUGGUAAAGGCUUUGUGAGCCAGCAGCAGAAGGACAUGCAGUAUGUGCGGAGGAUGAAGUCCAAGUGGAUGCUGAAGAUGGGCAUGAGCAAUAACACCACCAAACAGACCCAUUUCAGAGCACAAGUCAUGUUCUAAACUAAUUAACCUUCAGCAUCAGUUAUUAACAGUAGUCUGGAAUGAUAGUCUGUGUGUUGAUUCAGCUGAGAUGUGAACUGCUGUUAAUGUCAUGAAUAAAGGUGGAACUUCAUACAUUAAUGUAUAAGGCAACAUUGUGCUUUAGAUAUCUAAAUUAUGUGCUUUUCCAGCAUCAACAUGAGAUUGAUACAUUAGGGUUGGAAAAUUGUUCAUAAUGACCUUUAUUAGCAUUUGCAAUUUUAAUACUCCUUGUAAAAGGUAAAACAUAUUAUAAAAACCUACUUCAGAUUUAUAAUACUGUAU